UACAGCCAUAUUAUGUUGAAACACUGGUCCCUAUAUGAUCACCAAAGUUAAGCAACAUCGAGCUGGGUCAGUACCCAGAUGGGUGACCGCUAAAGAAUACCAGGUGCUGUAAG